CUGAGAGAGGGGGAGAGUGGGAUUGAGAAAGCGAGAGAGGGAAGUUUGAGGGGCCAGGCAGAAUAACUGUGGCUGGUGGGGGCAUCAUCUUGUGGGCUUCUGUGUGACCGGCUCCCUGCGGGGGCCGAUAGCUCUGGAGCUGCACCCAGUGUCAGAAAAGAAGAGAGGAGGUAGAGGUAGAGCAGUUAGAGGAGAGGAGUUAGAGGAGAUAGAGGAGAGAAGUUAGAGUAGAGGAGUUAGAGUAGAGGAGUUAGAGUAGAGGAGUUAGAGGAGAGGAGUUAGAGGAGAGGAGAUAGAGGAGAGGAGUUAGAGUAGAGGAGUUAGAGUAGAGGAGUUAGAGUAGAGGAGUUAGAGGAGAGGAGAUAGAGGAGAGGAGUUAGAGGAGAUAGAGGAGAGGAGUUAGAGGAGAGGAGUUAGAUGAGUUAGAGGAGAGGAGUUAGAGGAGAUGGAGGUGUUAGAGGAGAGGAGUUAGAGGAGAAGAGUUAGAGGAGUUAGAGGAGAGGAGUUAGAGGAGAAGAGUUAGAGGAGUUAGAGGAGAGGAGAUAGAGGAGAGGAGUUAGAGAGUUAGAGGAGAGGAGUUAGCGGAGAGGAGUUAGAGGAGAAGUGUUAGAGGAAUUAGAGGAGAGGAGUUAGAGGAGAGGAGUUAGAGAAGUUAGAGGAGAGGCGUUAGAGGAGAGGAGUUAGAGGAGAGGAGUUAGAGGAGAGGAGUUAGAUGAGUUAGAGGAGUUAGAGGAGAGGAGUUAGAGGAGAGGAGUUAGGUGAGUUAGAGGAGAGGAGUUAGAGGAGAGGAGUUAGGUGAGUUAGAGGAGUUAAAUUAGUUAGAGGAGUUAGAGGAGAGGAGUUAGAGGAGUUAGAGGAGAGGAGUUAGAUGAGUUAGAGGAGAGGAGUUAGAGGUGUUAGAGGAGAGGAGUUAGAUGAGUUAGAGGAGAGGAGUUAGAGGAGAAGAGUUAGAUGAGUUAGAGGUGUUAGAGGAGAGGAGUUAGAUGAGUUAGAAAAGUUAGAGGAGAGGAGUUAGAGGAGAGGAGUUAGAAGAGUUAGAGGUGUUAGAGGAGAGGAGUUAGAUGAGUUAGAGGAGUUAGAGGAGUUAGAGGUGUUAGAGGGGAGGAGUUAGAUGAGUUAGAAAAGUUAGAGGAGAGGAGUUAGAGGAGAGGAGUUAGAGGAUUCAGAGGAGUUAGAGGAGAGGAGUUAGAGGAGAGGAGUUGGAGGAGAGGAGUUAGAAGAGUUAGAGGAGUUAGAGGAGAGGAGAUAGAGGAGAGGAGUUAGAGAGUUAGAGGAGAGGAGUUAGAGUAGAGGAGUUAGAGAAGUUAGAGGAGAGAAGUUAGAGGAGAGGUGUUAGAGGAGUUAGAGGAGAGGAGUUAGAUGAGUUAGAGGAGAGGAGUUAGAGGAGAGGAGUUAGAGGAGAGGAGUUAGAUGAGUUAGAGGAGUUAGAGGAGAGGAGAUAGAGGAGAGGAGUUAGAGAGUUAGAGGAGAGGAGUUAGAGUAGAGGAGUUAGAGAAGUUAGAGGAGAGAAGUUAGAGGAGAUGUGUUAGAGGAGUUAGAGGAGAGGAGUUAGAUGAGUUAGAGGAGAGGAGUUAGAGGAGAGGAGUUAGAGGAGUAAGAGGUGUUAGAUGAGUUAGAGGAGAGGAGUUAGAGGAGAGGAGUUAGAGGAGAGGAGUUAGAUGAGUUAGAGGUGUUAGUUGAGUUAGAGGAGAGGAGUUAGAGGAGAGGAGUUAGAGGAGAGAAGUUAGACGAGUUAGAGGAGUUAAAUGAGUUAGAGGUGUUAGAGGAGAGGAGUUAGACGAGUUAGAGGAGUUAAAUGAGUUAGAUGAGUUAGAGGAGAGGAGUUAGAGGAGUUAGAUGAAUUAGAGGAGUUAGAGGAGAGGAGUUAGAGGAGAGGAGUUAGAUGAGUUAGAGGAGAGGAGUUAGAGGAGAAGAGUUAGAUGAGUUAGAGGAGAGGAGUUAGAUGAGUUAGAGGUGUUAGAGGAGAGGAGUUAGAGAGUUAGAGGAGAGGAGUUAGAGAGUUAGAGGAGAGGAGUUAGAGGUGUUAGAGGAGAGGAGUUAGAGGAGAGGAGUUAGAGGAGAGGUGUUAGAGGAGUUAGAGGAGAGGAGUUAGAGGAGAGGAGUUAGAGGAGAGGAGUUAGAGGAGUUAGAUGAGUUAGAGGAGAGGAGUUAGAUGAGUUAGAGGAGAGGAGUUAGAGGAGAGGAGUUAGAGGAGAGUUAGAGGAGAGGAGUUAGAGGAGUAAGAGGAGAGGAUUUAGAGGAGAGGAGUUAGAUGAGUUAGAGGAGAGGAGUUAGAGGAGAGGAGUUAGAGGAGAGGAGUUACAUGAGUUAGAGGAGAGGAGUUAGAGUAGUUACAGGAGAGGAGUUAGAGGAGAGGAGUUAGAGGAGUUAGAGGAGAGGAGUUAGAUGAGAGGAGUUAGAUGAGUUAGAGGAGAGGAGUUAGAUGAGUUAGAGGAGAGGUGUUAGAGGAGUUAGAGGAGAGGAGUUAGAGGAGAGGAGAUAGAGGAGAGGAGUUAGAUGAGUUAGAGGAGAGGAGUUAGAGGAGUUAGAGGAGAGGCGUUAGAGGAAAGGAGUUAGAGGAGAGGAGUUAGAUGAGUUAGAGGAGAGGAGUUAGAGGAGAAGAGUUAGAUUAGUUAGAAAAGUUAGAGGAGAGGAGAUAGAGGAGAGGAGUUGGAGAGGAGUUAGAGGAGAGGAGUUAGAGGAGAGGAGUUAGAGGAGAGGAGUUAGAUGAGUUAGAAAAGUUAGAGGAGAGGGGAUAGAGGAGAGGAGUUAGAUGAGUUAGAAAAGUUAGAGGAGUUAGAGGAGUUAGAUGAGUUAGAGGAGUUAAAGGAGAGGAGAUAAAGGAGAUAAAGGAGAGGAGUUAGAGAGUUAGAGGAGUUAGAGGAGAGGAGUUAGAGAGUUAGAGGAGAGGAGUUAGAGGAGAGGAGUUAGAGGAGAGGAGUUAGAGGAGUUGGAGAGGAGUUAGACGAGAGGAGUUAGAUGAGUUAGAGGAGUUAAAGGAGAGGAGAUAGAGGAGAUAGAGGAGAGGAGUUAGAGAGUUAGAGGAGAGGAGUUAGAGGUGUUAGAGGAGAGGAGUUAGAGGAGAGGAGUUAGAGGAGUUAGAGGAGAGGAGUUAGAGGAGUUAGAGAAGUUAGAGGAGAGGAGUUAGAGGAGAGGAGUUAGAGGAGUAAGAGGAGAGGAGUUAGAGGAGAGGAGUUAGAGGAGAGGAGUUAGAUGAGUUAGAGGAGAGGAGUUAGAUUACUUAGAGGAGAGGAGUUAGAGGAGAGGAGUUAGAUGAGUUAGAGGAGAGGAGUUAGAUUAGAGGAGUUAGAGGAGAGGAGUUAGAGGAGAGGAGAUAGAGGAGAUAGAGGAGUUAGAGGAGUUAGAGGAGAGGGGUUAGAGGAGUUAGAGGAGAGGAGUUAGAUGAGUUAGAGGAGAGGAGUUAGAUGAGUUAGAGGAGAGGAGUUAGAGGAGAGGAGUUAGAGGAGAGGAGUUAGAGGAGAGGAGUUAGAUGAGUUAGAGGAGAGGAGUUAGAGGAGAGGAGUUAGAUGAGUUAGAGGAGAGGAGUUAGAGAGUUAGAGGAGAGGAGUUAGAGGAGUUAGAGGAGAGGAGUUAGAGGAGAGGAGUUAGAGGAGUUGGAGAGGAGUUAGACGAGAGGAGUUAGAUGAGUUAGAGGAGUUAAAGGAGAGGAGAUAGAGGAGAUAGAGGAGAGGAGUUAGAGAGUUAGAGGAGAGGAGUUAGAGGUGUUAGAGGAGUUAGAGGAGAGGAGUUAGAGGAGUUAGAGGAGAGGAGUUAGAGGAGAGGAGUUAGAGGAGUUGGAGAGGAGUUAGACGAGAGGAGUUAGAUGAGUUAGAGGAGUUAAAGGAGAGGAGAUAGAGGAGAGGAGUUAGAGAGUUAGAGGAGAGGAGUUAGAAGUGUUAGAGGAGAGGAGUUAGAGGAGUUAGAGGAGAGGCGUUAGAGGAGAGGAGUUAGAGGAGUUAGAGAAGUUAGAGGAGAGGAGUUAGAGGAGAGGAGUUAGAGGAGUAAGAGGAGAGGAGUUAGAGGAGAGGAGUUAGAGGAGAGGAGUUAGAUGAGUUAGAGGAGAGGAGUUAGAUGAGUUAGAGGAGAGGAGUUAGAGGAGAGGAGUUAGAUGAGUUAGAGGAGAGGAGUUAGAUUAGAGGAGUUAGAGGAGAGGAGUUAGAGGAGAGGAGUUAAAGUAGUUAGAGGAGAGGAGUUAGAGGAGAGGAGUUAGAGGAGAGGAGUUAGAGGAGAGGAGUUAGAGGAGAGUUAGAUGAGUUAGAGGAGAGGAGUUAGAGGAGAGGAGUUAAAGUAGUUAGAGGAGAGGAGUUAGAGGAGUUAGAGGAGAGGAGUUAGAGGAGAGGAGUUAGAUGAGUUAGAGGAGAGAAGUUAGAUGAGUUAGAGGAGAGGAGUUCGAUGAGUUAGAGGAGAGGAGUUAGAUGAGUUAGAGGAGAGGUGUUAGAGGAGUUAGAGGAGAGGAGUUAGAGGAGAGGAGUUAGAUGAGUUAGAGGAGAGGAGUUAGAGGAGUUAGAGGAGAGGAGUUAGAGGAAAGGAGUUAGAGGAGAGGAGUUAGAUGAGUUAGAGGAGAGGAGUUAGAGGAGAAGAGUUAGAUGAGUUAGAGGAGAGGAGUUAGAUGAGAGGAAGGAGAGGAGUUAGAGGAGUUAUAGGAGAGGAGUUAGAGGAGAGGAGUUAGAGGAGAGGAGUUAGAGGAGUUAGAGGAGAGGAGUUAGAGGAGAAGAGUUAGAGGAGAGGAGUUAGAGGAGAAGAGUUAGAGGAGUUAGAGGAGAGGAGUUAGAGGAGAGGAGUUAGAGGAGUUAGAGGAGAUGAGUUAGAGGAGAGGAGUUAGAGGAGUUAGAGGAGAGGAGUUAGCGGAGAGGAGAGGCACCACCGUGUGAGAAGUAGUGUGCCUCCUUCGUGGUGGCUGAUGACGGAGCAGCACAGAUGGGCUUGGGGUUGGGGCUCGUUCCCCAGCAUGCUCCUUUGUAUGGAGCCCUGCUCACUAAUUACAGCUGAUGACUGUGUGUGAGGGGGAGCGAGAGGGGCGGAGAGGGGAG
rnacentral:lncRNA from 1 species